UUUUUUCGAUGCCCCAGUUGGCUGUUCUGCUGAUUCUCGAGAUGCAGCUGAGUGAUCUUCUUUUCUUGCUCAAGAAGUCGGGAAAUACCGUCAGGAAUCCCUUCAACAUCAUCUUCUUCCGCUUCGAAUACAGGGAAUUCAAAAUUGGGAGAUGACGUCUGAUCACUAUGUUCAAUGGGUCUAAGAAACAACCUGCAUAAAGAUUUUGAGUAUAAAAGCUUUUUGGAAAUCAAACAAGACAAUCGUUAUGCAGAUGAAAAGAUUGCUUUUAUUCUUGUUUUUUAGGGUUUUUUGUGAUCACCAAUUUCAUGCAAAAAGCGAAAAGGGAAAACAAUUGGAAAACAAAUGUUUUAACAUGAAUUAUUUGAAUGAAAAUAUCAUUGCACAAAACGUUGCCAACAAUGUCAUCACAUCUCCUCAUGGGAGAAGGGUUUCUAAACAAAGUGAUUAUUACUCCGACUUAUGAACAACUGUAGGAACGCCCACUGUGACCCAAUUGUGAUAGAUCCCACCGGGGAUGACAACUGUCAGUAUCUCUUGCAUCAGCAACUUCUGCUUUCUGAACAACCCUUCUGAAGAAAAAGUCGGCGCCA
rnacentral:lncRNA from 1 species